rnacentral:pre_miRNA from 1 species
UUUUUAGCAUAAGUAUGUCUUAUGCCAUGUUUGGGACAUACUUAUGCUGAAA